AUUGAACGCUGGCGGCAUGCCUUACACAUGCAAGUCGAACGGUAACAGGGAGCCUGCUCCGCUGACGAGUGGCGAACGGGUGAGUAAUGUAUCGGAACGUACCUUUUAGUGGGGGAUAACGUAGCGAAAGUUACGCUAAUACCGCAUAUUCUCUGAGGAGGAAAGCAGGGGACCUUCGGGCCUUGCGCUAAUAGAGCGGCUGAUAUCAGAUUAGCUAGUUGGUGAGGUAAAGGCUCACCAAGGCGACGAUCUGUAGCGGGUCUGAGAGGACGAUCCGCCACACUGGAACUGAGACACGGUCCAGACUCCUACGGGAGGCAGCAGUGGGGAAUUUUGGACAAUGGGCGAAAGCCCGAUCCAGCAAUGCCGCGUGCAGGAUGAAGGCCUUCGGGUUGUAAACUGCUUUUGUACGGAACGAAAAGCUCUGGGUUAAUACCCUGGGGUCAUGACGGUACCGUAAGAAUAAGCACCGGCUAACUACGUGCCAGCCGCCGCCGUAA
rnacentral:rRNA from 1 species